GCCAGUGUGGUAUAGUGGUUUGAACAUUGGACUAUGACUCUGGAGACCAGGGUUUGAAUCCCUGCUCAACCA